rnacentral:rRNA from 1 species
AGAGUUUGAUCCUGGCUCAGGAUGAACGCUAGCUACAGGCUUAACACAUGCAAGUCGAGGGGCAGCAUCAUCAAAGCUUGCUUUGAUGGAUGGCGACCGGCGCACGGGUGAGUAACACGUAUCCAACCUGCCGACAACACUGGGAUAGCCUUUCGAAAGAAAGAUUAAUACCGGAUGGCAUAAUUAUUCCGCAUGGGAUAAUUAUUAAAGAAUUUCGGUUGUCGAUGGGGAUGCGUUCCAUUAGGCAGUUGGCGGGGUAACGGCCCACCAAACCAACGAUGGAUAGGGGUUCUGAGAGGAAGGUCCCCCACAUUGGAACUGAGACACGGUCCAAACUCCUACGGGAGGCAGCAGUGAGGAAUAUUGGUCAAUGGACGAGAGUCUGAACCAGCCAAGUAGCGUGAAGGAUGACUGCCCUAUGGGUUGUAAACUUCUUUUAUAAAGGAAUAAAGUCGGGUAUGCAUACCCGUUUGCAUGUACUUUAUGAAUAAGGAUCGGCUAACUCCGUGCCAGCAGCCGCGGUAAUACGGAGGAUCCGAGCGUUAUCCGGAUUUAUUGGGUUUAAAGGGAGCGUAGGCGGGUUGUUAAGUCAGUUGUGAAAGUUUGCGGCUCAACCGUAAAAUUGCAGUUGAUACUGGCGACCUUGAGUGCAACAGAGGUAGGCGGAAUUCGUGGUGUAGCGGUGAAAUGCUUAGAUAUCACGAAGAACUCCGAUUGCGAAGGCAGCUCACUGGACUGCAACUGACACUGAUGCUCGAAAGUGUGGGUAUCAAACAGGAUUAGAUACCCUGGUAGUCCACACAGUAAACGAUGAAUACUCGCUGUUGGCGAUAUACAGUCAGCGGCCAAGCGAAAGCAUUAAGUAUUCCACCUGGGGAGUACGCCGGCAACGGUGAAACUCAAAGGAAUUGACGGGGGCCCGCACAAGCGGAGGAACAUGUGGUUUAAUUCGAUGAUACGCGAGGAACCUUACCCGGGCUUAAAUUGCAAAGGAAUAAUCUGGAAACAGAUUAGUCUUCGGAUCUUUGUGAAGGUGCUGCAUGGUUGUCGUCAGCUCGUGCCGUGAGGUGUCGGCUUAAGUGCCAUAACGAGCGCAACCCUUAUCGAUAGUUACUAGCAGGUAAUGCUGAGGACUCUAUUGAGACUGCCGUCGUAAGAUGUGAGGAAGGUGGGGAUGACGUCAAAUCAGCACGGCCCUUACGUCC